UACGAAUGGGGCUAGCGUUGCUCGGAAUGACUGGGCGUAAAGGGCGCGUAGGCGGCUUGCACAGUCAGGCGUGAAAUUCCUGGGCUCAACCUGGGGACUGCGCUUGAGACGUGUGGGCUUGAGUGGGGAAGAGGGUCGUGGAAUUCCCAGUGUAGAGGUGAAAUUCGUAGAUAUUGGGAAGAACACCAGUGGCGAAGGCGACUUCCUGGCCUGUUCUUGACGCUGAGGCGCGAAAGCUAGGGUAGCAAACGGG
rnacentral:rRNA from 1 species